rnacentral:rRNA from 1 species
GACGGAAGGUGCAAGCGUUGCUCGGAAUCACUGGGCGUAAAGGGUGCGUAGGCGGCUGUGUAAGUCUGGCGUGAAAGCCCCGGGCUCAGCCCGGGAAGUGCGCUCGAAACUGCGCAGCUCGAGUGCCGGAGGGGAGAGUGGAAUUCCUGGUGUAGAGGUGGAAUUCGUAGAUAUUAGGAAGAACACCAGUGGCGAAGGCGGCUCACUGGUCCGGUACUGACGCUGAGGUGCGAAAGCGUGGGGAGCAAACAGG